rnacentral:rRNA from 1 species
CAGUCGCCGCGGUAAUACGAGGGGGGCAAGCGUUGUUCGGAAUUAUUGGGCGUAAAGGGUGCGUAGGCGGUUUGACAAGUCUUAUGUGAAAUCUCUGGGCUCAACCCAGAGUCUGCAUGGGAAACUGUCGGGCUUGAGUAUGGGAGAGGUGAGUGGAAUUUCCGGUGUAGCGGUGAAAUGCGUAGAUAUCGGAAGGAACACCUGUGGCGAAAGCGGCUCACUGGACCAUUUCUGACGCUGAUGCACGAAAGCUAGGGGAGCAAACAGGAUUAGAUACCCCAGUAGUCCCUGUCUCUUAUAU